ensembl:snRNA
AUGUUGUAUGAAAGGAAAAGGCUAGCAUUCCUCUAGACAAGAAUGGAAGAGGUCCUCAGGCUUGACAACAUGCAUAUGGUUAUGGCAUUGCCAUCCACUUCAUGGCCUCUAAUCAUCAUUUUUU